rnacentral:rRNA from 1 species
UGAGGAAUUUUGCGCAAUGGCCGCAAGGCUGACGCAGCAACGCCGCGUGGGUGAAGAAGGCCUUCGGGUCGUAAAGCCCUGUCAGGUGGGAAGAAUGGCAGGGGGUCGAAUGGACCCUUUGAUUGACGGUACCACCAGAGGAAGCACCGGCUAACUCCGUGCCAGCAGCCGCGGUAAUACGGAGGGUGCAAGCGUUAUUCGGAAUUACUGGGCGUAAAGCGCGUGCAGGCGGGUAUGCAAGUCUGAUGUGAAAGCCCCGGGCUCAACCUGGGAAGUGCAUUGGAAACUGCAUAUCUUGAGUGCUGGAGAGGAAGGGGGAAUUCCCGGUGUAGAGGUGAAAUUCGUAGAGAUCGGGAGGAAUACCAGUGGCGAAGGCGCCCUUCUGGACGGCAACUGACGCUGAGACGCGAAAGCGUGGGGAGCAAACAGG